rnacentral:rRNA from 1 species
GUCUAUGGCCAUGCUACCCUAACAAGCUCGAUCCCAUCUGAUCUCGGAAGCUAAGAAGUAUCAGGCCUGGUUAAUACUUGGAUGGGAGACCACCUAGGAAGAGCAGGUACUGUAGGUG